GAUGAACGCUGGCGGCGUGCCUAACACAUGCAAGUCGAACGGAACUAUUUUGGAAACUCCUUCGGGAGCGGAAUCUUUAGUUUAGUGGCGGACGGGUGAGUAACGCGUGAGCAAUGUGCCUUUAAGAGGGGGAUAACAGUCGGAAACGGCUGCUAAUACCGCAUAAAGCAUUGAAUUCGCAUGUUUUCGAUGCCAAAGGAGCAAUCCGCUUUUAGAUGAGCUCGCGUCUGAUUAGCUGGUUGGCGGGGUAACGGCCCACCAAGGCGACGAUCAGUAGCCGGACUGAGAGGUUGAACGGCCACAUUGGGGCUGAGACACGGCCCAGACUCCUACGGGAGGUAGCAGUGGGGAAUAUUGCGCAAUGGGGGAAACCCUGACGCAGCAACGCCGCGUGAUUGAAGAAGGCCUUCGGGUUGUAAAGAUCUUUAAUUCGGGACGAAAUUUGACGGUACCGAAAGAAUAAGCUCCGGCUAACUACGUGCCAGCCGCCGCGGUAA
rnacentral:rRNA from 1 species